rnacentral:piRNA from 1 species
UGGGAAGAGCAGUGAAUGCUUCUCAGGC